GACGAUUUUGUCGGCACUGUGCAAACACUAGAGCGAACACUUAGACUCAGAUGACCAUGAUGUCAUGGGGCAGUGUCAGCCCAUGGGAUCCCCAUGGUACAUGUGGUCUAUCAAUCACACCCCUGAAUCACCAUGGAGCCCAAGACUGAGUCAGGACGGAGGAAACCCAGGUGCUAAGGAACGAGGCUGGACAUACACAGGUGUACAUAUGGAUCGGCAAACACCGCAGCCUAUCCCAAGCGCUACAGAAUUGGUAACAGGAAACGGCGUUGAGAAUCUGGAGUCGGAGGAGAAUAAGGAGAGAAGAAAACUUUGGCAGAAGACAGAGAACACGGACAAGAAGUACACCUUAGUAGCCAGAGGGUCAAUCAGGUGGCCCAUGUGUGGGGUGGCAGGGACACAGGCACAGUAAGGAGCUUCUUACCUCAGAGGACUUGUCACCUUAGGAUGUCACCCCCCACCCCCACUUAUGUCCCCACCCCCUUACAUGCCACUCCACACUCCUCCCUCCAACUCCCCUGCCCAUGGGCUCCUUGCAGGACUCAAAUGGCAGGAUCUUAUCUUCUUCGGGGUCUUUUCUCCAAACUACCCUGCCCCAGGUGUUGGCUGGACUAGCUAAUCUUAGAUUUUACAUCACCUUUGCCACUUCAGAUCUUCACCUCCGUUAUAACUACUUUUUUCCAACAUUUGUUCUCUCUCUCUCUCUCUCUCUCUCUCUCUCUCUCUCUCUCUCUCUCUCUGUAUCUCUCUCUCUACUGAAAUUCAAACUCCAUGAAUUUAGAAAUGCAAUUUGUGUUUCUAUUGAAUCCGGCAAACCUACAGCAUCCAUCGCCAGACCUGGGAUAAUUAUUUAUUUAUCCUUCUCUCAAAUAUUACAUUCCAACCACAGCGCCCCUCCCUCCUCUCCUCCUGGACACUUCCCACCUCCCUUCUCCUCCAUUCCCUUUCAGAGCAGGCAG
rnacentral:lncRNA from 1 species